rnacentral:rRNA from 1 species
CUCCCAAACCCAAUGUGAACGUUACCAAACUGUUGCCUCGGCGGGGUCACGCCCCGGGUGCGUAAAAGCCCCGGAACCAGGCGCCCGCCGGAGGAACCAACCAAACUCUUUCUGUAGUCCCCUCGCGGACGUAUUUCUUACAGCUCUGAGCAAAAAUUCAAAAAUGAAUCAAAACUUUCAACAACGGAUCUCUUGGUUCUGGCAUCGAUGAAGAACGCAGCGAAAUGCGAUAAGUAAUGUGAAUUGCAGAAUUCAGUGAAUCAUCGAAUCUUUGAACGCACAUUGCGCCCGCCAGUAUUCUGGCGGGCAUGCCUGUCCGAGCGUCAUUUCAACCCUCGAACCCCUCCGGGGGGUCGGCGUUGGGGAUCGGGACCCCUCACCGGGUGCCGGCCCUGAAAUACAGUGGCGGUCUCGCCGCAGCCUCUCCUGCGCAGUAGUUUGCACAACUCGCACCGGGAGCGCGGCGCGUCCACGUCCGUAAAACACCCAACUUCUGAAAUGUUGACCUCGGAUCAGGUAGGAAUACCCGCUGAACUUAAGCAUAUC